rnacentral:miRNA from 1 species
GCUGAGUGGGGAGGAGAGAGGGACAGAGAGCCUGCUUCUUUAAAGGAGCAAAGUGGGAGAGGAGAGGAGCCACUUACACGAGUGUAAGCGGCUCCUGUCCGGUUGGUUCCUUUAAAGCAAGCAGGCUCUCUGUCCCUCUCUCCUCCCCACUCAGC